rnacentral:rRNA from 1 species
CCUACGGGAGGCAGCAGUGGGGAAUUUUGGACAAUGGACGCAAGUCUGAUCCAGCCAUGCCGCGUGCGGGAAGAAGGCCUUCGGGUUGUAAACCGCUUUUGUCAGGGAAGAAACGGGUUUCUCUAAUACAGAGACCUAAUGACGGUACCUGAAGAAUAAGCACCGGCUAACUACGUGCCAGCAGCCGCGGUAAUACGUAGGGUGCAAGCGUUAAUCGGAAUUACUGGGCGUAAAGCGUGCGCAGGCGGUUAUGCAAGACAGAGGUGAAAUCCCCGGGCUCAACCUGGGAACUGCCUUUGUGACUGCAUAGCUAGAGUACGGUAGAGGGGGAUGGAAUUCCGCGUGUAGCAGUGAAAUGCGUAGAUAUGCGGAGGAACACCGAUGGCGAAGGCAAUCCCCUGGACCUGUACUGACGCUCAUGCACGAAAGCGUGGGGAGCAAACAGGAUUAGAUACCCUGGUAGUCCACGCCCUAAACGAUGUCAACUGGUUGUUGGGAGGGUUUCUUCUCAGUAACGAAGCUAACGCGUGAAGUUGACCGCCUGGGGAGUACGGCCGCAAGGUUGAAACUUAAGGAAUUGACGGCGNGAGAGNGCGAGACGACGACGAGGGAGAGG